GGGCACGGCACAAUCGGAAGUGUGGACGAGCCCUCAUGCCCUUGGCUUAUUGGUCCAGCUUAAUUUUCAGCUUCUAAUUGCUUUCAAAUUGGCGUGACUGAAAGUGUGAUGCCUAUCCAUGCAGAUCUGCUGAUAGAUUGAGGUGGUGCAUCAAGUCCUCUGCUAUGAGAAAGAAGGCCUGUUCAAUAUGCCAGCUCCAGUGGAUGGGUCUGGGAUGAAGGCCAGAGGGAGGAGAGGUGUGGAGGUGUGUUUGAUCUCCCAAGCCUGAGUUUCCCCAUGCCUGUUUUAAAGGGAUUAUGGCUGCUAGUCAUGCUGGCUAUAUACUACCUUCAAUAUUCAGAACCCCAUGCCUCUGAACACAAGUCACUGGAGAGGUCUAUUGCGCUUGUGUCCUGCUUGUCAGCUUCUGAUUGGCUACUGGAGAAAACAGAAUGGUGAACCAGAUGGGCCUUUGGCCUGUUCUUAAUACACACACAAGCUUUUGGACAGGAAUGUACUUGGCAGCCAUAUAUAAUUUUCUCCCCUCCAUUUUCAUUAAUGACCACUUGCUGUUUAAUUCAGUGGAGGGUGGGGGGAGUCCCAAGAAACCCCAAUGUACUCCUCUGGUAUUUUUGGAAAUGUCAGUACCACCCAAGGUAACUUUCCACUAAUUUUCAAGUUGUAGGAACACCCAUUACUCUGUAAUGGCAAUUUCCAUCGGGCAAAAUGUAUAGGUUCUUUUCCAUUCUUUAAUUGGUCAAAAAUGUUAGUACAGAUAUUUGCUAAACACCUUAUAAAUAGCAAGGGAGUUUUGUGCUGGCUUUCGUAAUAUUAACGCCGUACAUUAAAACUUGUCACGAUUUGGCUUAAGCCUCAUUUUUUCCAAGACACACCAUUUCCUAUAGCUUGGAACAUUUCCCCUUUUUUUAUUCAUAGGAAUAAGUUAGGCUGUGGAUUCCCUUUGAAUAAUAAUCAUAAAAAAGCCCUGGCCUUGGUCAAGUGUAACUGGCUUGCUGAUCAUUUCAUGUCUCUUUGGGGGGGUGAGCAGAGUUUCUGAACGCUUAAAUUGUUUCCUUGAUUUGCUUACCAGGGAGACAGAAUGGUUUACCUACCGGUACUUGCAUGAUGUAUUGAAAUGCAUGAUGCAGUUCAGAGCAGUGGUAGAAAUUGCAUCCUUGUUAUGUGCCCCCCCCCCUCGCUAAAGGUUGCUCUGCAGUGUUUAGAGUUUAUACGCCAAUAUGCUCUAUCAGAGCUCUCUAUGCCCUUGAGGCUGGUUUAUUCUCCCCCCCCCCCAAAAAAAAAUAUUCUUGUGCACAUGUCAUUAUAAUACAACCACCAUUUCUCCUCCAAACCAUUGGGAUCUAAAUCGGAUAUAUUAUUUAUCAACUUGAAGGUAACUUGUAUCUGUGUUGAGGGAUAGUGUUUGAUAAUAAUGCAAAACAGUUGAAAGAGGGGACUAGUUCUCCUUUUUCUUCUUUUUAGGAGGUGCUUGCUUAAGGCCUUUUGUGAAAUAGCAAAUGUUGUUUUUUAAUUUAGGCCACUUACUAAUUGGAUUUCCUGUAUCAUAGGAAAUUCCAAACCUGGGGCAAUGUGUUUUCCUAUCAUGGCUAUGGGUGAAAAGCCAGCAUUUAGAGUUUGCAAUCAAAAAGGGAAACUAAAAAGAUUGGCUGUGAUCCAGGUAAGGUUAGCUGUUGUGUUGUGGCCAAAUCCUAUUGAAAUUGAUGGGGCUUAAGUGAAUCAAGACAAUUUAUUUAUUUUAAGGGGACUUAGUCAUGAGUAACUUUAUCUGGAUUGAGGUUCUUGCAGCUUUGGUAACAUGGUAUGUGUUGUUUGCUGUUAUUUCAAAGAUUAAAAAUACAAAAUACACAGAAGAUAAAAAGAUUGUUUUUAUUUCUUAAAACACACCCAGCCACCCAAAAUUGGUUUGCAACACAUGAAAUGACAAUCUUGCAACAUUAUAACCCCCAAAUUGGUUUGCAACACACAAAAUGGCAAUCUUGCAACAUUAUAACAUUGCAAAGGUGCCUUUUGAUUGAGGAAGGAAAGAAUUGUCCCUGCAAUUAAUGAUUUUUGAUGUGCUAAAAAUAUUUUGCAUUUGUCUCUAUUUUCUUCUGCUCUCAGAUAGUAUGUCAGUAUGCCAUUCUUUUCUAUCAUAGAAUCAUAGAAUUGUAGCACUGGAAGGGACCCUAGCGUUAACCUAGUCUAACCUCUGCAAUCACAGAAACAAGUUAAAUAAUGCCUGGCAAAUGACCAUCCAACCAAUGUUAAAAACUUCCAGUGUCCAUGAGGCUGCUGUUAGUAAUUUUUGUAGUCUCCAACUUUGCAUCCACAGUGCAUAGUGGUGGCUGGUUUUUCCCCUUUGAUGAGGGACAGGCCUGCACCUUUUAUGGCCCUGUCUCUUUUUCUGGUUUUUUAGAUGUGGAAGCCAUUUUGUGUUAUGCCACACCCAUGGCAACUAUUUUGUGCCUUGCCACACCAUCCCUGGGGCAGCCAUUUUGUGAUUGGCAUCUGCAACAUUUUCUCUAUAUCCGCAACAUUCCCUCUAGCUCAGAAAGGUUGACAACUCCUGCUGUAAAGUGUUAAGGCCAGAUAUUGAGGUGCUUACAUGAUCCUGUUACAUCAAUGGGGUUACUUCUGAGCUUAAAACAAAUUUCUGAAUCCUUCACAGUCACCGGCCAGAGUUGGAAUAUCACCACUGUCUUCUCUGUUUUCAGAGUCGAGCUACAGCAAUUUAUCCUCUUUAAAAUACAUUAAAAAGUGAAUGCUACAACAGUACUUUUUCUGCCUUGUUAGAGGCAAAGAUCAGUGUACUUGGCACUAAAUGAAUCUGAAAAAGGCAUUGAAGACCCUCAGCAGGAUAAGGGAUUUCAUGUGGGCAACAUGGAAAGGGAAUAGUCAACCCCCCCCCCCCCCAAGUACUUCACAGUCCAUGAGAUUGUUCCUCUGAAGCUCCUACCUCUUUGGUUAUUAUGAUGUCUAGAAAGUAACCACAAAAAUGCUCUCAAAAUUUUAACAAACCAGCCAUUGUGUUAAGUAAGCCUAAGUAUGAAUAGUUGAAAUAAUCACAUAUUAGCCUUUCCCAGCCCACCCAUAUCUCAGUUUCUCCCCUUCCUUUUUAUUUUCAGAUUGUAAGACUCUUGAGCUAGGGGCCUGUCAUGCCUGUUCUUUGUAAAGGACUACGUUGCCUCCUGUGGGGUUUUUCACCUAUUAGAGAGUGGGCAGGACUUACUUCUUAUUAGUACAGUGGUACCUCAGGUUACAUAUGCUUCAGGUUACAUACGCUUCAGGUUACGCACUCUGCUAACCCAGAAAUAGUGCUUCAGGUUAAGAACUUUGCUUCAGGAUAAGAACAGAAAUCGGGCUCCGGCGGUGCAGCAGCAGCAGGAGGCCCCAUUAGCUAAAGUGGUGCUUCAGGUUAAGAACAGUUUCAGGUUAAGAACGGACUUCCAGAACGAAUUAAGUACUUAACCUGAGGUACCACUGUAUGCUGCUAGAUGAGUAUCUUAUGUAGUUGGUUUUGUCUGUGAUUUAUUUUUCCAUUACCUAGGUUUAAAUUGUUUUAAUGUGUUGUACUUUAUUUUCACCAAGUCGCUUUGAGACUUCUUAUUGUAAAAAAAGUGACAGAUGAAUGAAAUGAAAUGCACGUAGAUGGUGCUAAAUAAAUACAUAUGCCAAAGAACAUAAUGUUGAAGCUUGUGGGGAGUUUUCUCUCCAUUAUUCCCCUUCAAGAAACCAACCAACAGUGGCACCCUUGAGCAGUUCUUUAUGGUGUUUGCCAGAGACAAAUAGACACCAGUUGUGGCACAGAGGGUUGUGGAGGAAGGCUAAAUUCAGAGCUGUUGUUGCAAUGGCCUGUGAGUGCCCUUUCUGGCCCAGGAAUGUCUCUCACUCUGAAAUUUUAUCUUUAUAUCUGAUGGAGAUGUAAGAAAAAGGUGCAGGCGACUUCCUACCCUGUUACAAGCUGAGUGUACAAUUACAUCACUUCAGAUGUUUAAGACUAACUUUAUGUAUGGAAUUCUGCACUGAUUUUCUGUCCUCUCAUCACAAAAUAUCUGGUUGCGGACCUGGUUGGUUUUGUCUUUGUUGUGUGGCUCUCCCAUGGCAGGUUUUCAAAAUGAUGGAAGCCUGACAAUUUUAAUGCUUUAAUUUGUUGCUCUUGCUGUUGUUCAGGGUGUAGCCAGUAGCGUGUGGUCUGAAAAUGUUCCAAGGGUCCUUUGGUAAACUUUUCUAAGCAUUAGCUUAGAGAUCGCUAGUCCCUUUGCUUGCUCCCUCUCUUUUAAUUUGGUCAGUUUAUUUAUGCGAUUAUAAUAUUUGCCUCCCUGUUUGUCUUGGCACUUGAGUUUUUAGGCUUAAUGAACAAAUGCGUCCAAGAUUCAAUUCUUUAGUCAGAUUAACAUUUGUACUCCCCCUGAUUUUCUGUGCAAACAGUGUCUCCUUUGCUAGCAGCCAAAACAAAGCUUCCUACAUCACUACAGUGGUUUGUAAACAGUUCUAGUUCUUGCUAAAAUGAGUAAUUUCUUCACAGGAUACAAAGGCACCAGUUCUACAGAUUUUAGGCAGAGCUGCUGCACUAGAUUACCGGAGGCUAUUAUUAAAAAAAACCAGACUGCAAGUCAGAAUGUGUGCAGAGAUCAUUUUGCGUUCAUGGAAAUAUGGGGUCCCAAGCAGUGCU